rnacentral:rRNA from 1 species
AUGCCGUCGUGGCCCAACAGCAACGAGACCUCUAACGAUGAUGACGAGUAUAUGAGCGAGCUCAGUAGCAUGAAUAUGGAGUAUUUUCAAACUCCAUAUACUGUGAUAGAUCCAAGCUUUUCUGGGCUUGUGACUGAAUCUGACCGUAGGUGCAUCCUGCACAGGGAGAGGGCUGGCAAAUUUGUAGCAUUUGAAGGCACUGACACUGGCAGGAGAUUCAUAGGAUGUGCAACUGAGGAUGGUGUGAACUGUGGUGUUUUAGAGUGGGUAGAUGCCCCUUGGCCUGUGAUUUUGCAAAGGUGCUUAACAAAGCUCUGGGAUAUGUAUCAUGAGGAGAACCUUGGUAGAGUGCAAGACAAAGAGGCUCAUGAGAUAGUGGUUGAGAAACUGAAGAAGGAGCUGGAUUCUCUUGGCAAUCAGUACAGUCAGCUUGUGGAUGAUGUAUCCAAGCUGUUUGAUUACCAGGAUGGGCAGAAAUCCCAUGACAUGGAUUACACAAGCCAGACAAUCAAUGAACUUAAGGAGAAGAAGCAUCAGCUUGAGGAGCGGGCAAAGAUUGAGAUUCAAAUGGAGAAGCUUAAGCUCAAGAAAGAACAAAGUGGUAGCUAG